ACAACGGCAGCUCGGGAUGGAUUGACAGCCAAGUUCAAAGCUGUAAAACAGAUCACUGGUGGUCAGAAGAUCUGGCAAUUCUGAGAAUCGACUUCUACCAGCGUACCUUAGCGGCAAUGAUGUCCAGAGGUUUGCUGCACGAAAGCAUUGGAGGAGCGCUGAUAAUCUACGCUCAGAGAUACCUCAAAGGCCUCAACAUGAAGCCCGUGACUAGUCACAACAAAACGAAACUAGCGCCAGCAGCAACGGCUCACGACUCUGGUAUUCCUUCAAUUCUGGAGCAGGAACAACGAGCAUUAGUGGAAACACUUACAAGCAUGCUACCUUGCGAGAAGAACUCUAUAAGCUGCAGCUUCCUCUUUGGCUUGCUUCGCUCGGCCAUAAUUCUAGACGCAUCCAUCAGCUGCCGCAUCGAGCUGGAGCAAAGAAUAGGAAUGCAAAUGGAUCAGGCAGCACUGGACGAUCUACUCAUACCAUCCAUGUCCUUCACUUGCGACACCUUGUUCGAUGUGGACGUCGUCCAAAGACUGGUGAUAAACUUCCUCCAGCACAAGGAGAAGGAAGACUCUCAAGCCGGCGGCUACGAAUCUGAGAGUACCAGUCCCCCGUCACAAAGCGCAGCCAUCAAAGUCGCAAAGCUCAUAGACAAUUACCUCGCGGAGAUUGCUCCCGAUACAAACCUCAAGCUCCUCAAGUUCUAC
rnacentral:lncRNA from 1 species